AUCAACAGACAACGAGUCCUAAAUAGAACGAAACGCACGUCCUGGAU
rnacentral:hammerhead_ribozyme from 1 species